UGGGCGACAUCAAGUUGUUGUUCUCGGUGCAGCGUCCCGGCGCGCGGCCGGCCAUUCGGCCCUAAGGACCCAUCGAGCGACCGAGCUUGCCCUCGGACCGCGACCCCAGGUCAGUCGGGACUACCCGCUGAGUUUAAGCAUAUAAAUAAGCGGAGGAGAAGAAACUUACGAGGAUUCCCCUAGUAACGGCGAGCGAACCGGGAGCAGCCCAGCUUGAGAAUCGGGCGGCCUCGCCGCCCGAAUUGUAGUCUGGAGAGGCGUCCUCAGCGACGGACCGGGCCCAAGUUCUCUGGAAAGGGACGCCUGGGAGGGUGAGAGCCCCGUCCGGCCCGGACCCUGUCGCACCACGAGGCGCCGUCAACGAGUCGGGUUGUUUGGGAAUGCAGCCCAAAUCGGGCGGUAAACUCCGUCCAAGGCUAAAUACAGGCGAGAGACCGAUAGCGAACAAGUACCGCGAGGGAAAGAUGAAAAGGACUUUGAAAAGAGAGUCAAAGAGUGCUUGAAAUUGCCGGGAGGGAAGCGGAUGGGGGCUGGCGACGCGCACCGGCCGUAUGCGGAACGGCUCCUGCUGGUCCGCCGAUCGGCUCGGGGCGUGGACCGUUGUCGCCCGCGCCGGCGGCCAAAGCCCGGGGGCCCUAGGCGCCCCCGGCAGCCGUCGUCGGCGCGGACGGUAUCCGCGCGCCUCUGGCGCGCCCCUCGGGGCGCUGCGCUGCAACGGCCUGCGAGCUCCCCAUCCGACCCGUCUUGAAACACGGACCAAGGAGUCUGACAUGCGUGCGAGUCGACGGGUUCAGAAACCUGAGAUGCGCAAGGAAGCUGACGAGCGGGAGGCCCUCACGGGCCGCACCGCUGGCCGACCCUGAUCUUCUGUGAAGGGUUCGAGUUGGAGCACGCCUGUCGGGACCCGAAAGAUGGUGAACUAUGCCUGAGCGGGGCGAAGCCAGAGGAAACUCUGGUGGAGGCUCGAAGCGAUACUGACGUGCAAAUCGUUCGUCUGACUUGGGUAUAGGGGCGAAAGACUAAUCGAACCAUCUAGUAGCUGGUUCCCUCCGAAGUUUCCCUCAGGAUAGCUGGAGCCCACACGAGUUCUAUCGGGUAAAGCCAAUGAUUAGAGGCAUCGGGGGCGCAACGCCCUCGACCUAUUCUCAAACUUUAAAUAGGUAGGACGGCGCGGCUGCUUCGGUGAGCCGUGCCACGGAAUCGGGAGCUCCAAGUGGGCCAUUUUUGGUAAGCAGAACUGGCGAUGCGGGAUGAACCGGAAGCCGGGUUACGGUGCCAAACUGCGCGCUAACCUAGAACCCACAAAGGGUGUUGGUCGAUUAAGACAGCAGGACGGUGGUCAUGGAAGUCGAAAUCCGCUAAGGAGUGU
rnacentral:rRNA from 1 species